rnacentral:rRNA from 1 species
AAGCGCCCUGAUCUCGUCUGAUCUCGAAAGCUAAGCAGGGAUGGGCUUGGUUUAGUACCUGGAUGGGGAGACUCGCCUGGGAAAUACCAGGGUGUUGUAGGGC